UGGGGAAUAUUGCACAAUGGGGGAAACCCGUGAUGCAGCGACGCCGCGUGAGUGAAGAAGUAUUUCGGUAUGUAAAGCUCUAUCAGCAGGGAAGAACAUGACGGUACCUGACUAAGAAGCCCCGGCUAACUACGUGCCAGCAGCCGCGGUAAUACGUAGGGGGCAAGCGUUAUCCGGAUUUACUGGGUGUAAAGGGAGCGUAGACGGCAGAGCAAGUCUGAAGUGAAAGCCCGGGGCUCAACCCCGGGACUGCUUUGGAAACUGCCCGGCUAGAGUGCAGGAGGGGCAAGCGGAAUUCCUAGUGUAGCGGUGAAAUGCGUAGAUAUUAGGAGGAACACCGGUGGCGAAGGCGG
rnacentral:rRNA from 1 species